CCUACGGGAGGCAGCAGUGGGGAAUAUUGCACAAUGGGCGCAAGCCUGAUGCAGCAACGCCGCGUGAAUGAAGAAGGCUUUCGGGUUGUAAACUUCUUUUGACAGGGAAGAGGAGAGUACGGUACCUGCCUCAUAAGCCACAGCUAACUACCUGCCAGCACCCGCGGUAAUUCGGAGGUGGCAAGCGUUGUCCGGAUUUACUGGGUGUAAAGGGCGUGUAGCCGGGUUGACAAGUCAGAUGUGAAAUCCUUGGGCUUAAACGCAGAACUGCAUUUGAAACUGGUGAUCUUGAGUACUGGAGAGGCAGACGGAAUUCCAAGUGUAGCGGGGAAAUGCGGAGAUAUUUGGAGGAACACCAGUGGCGAAGGCGGGCUGCUGGACAGAAACUGACGGUGAGGCGCGAAAGCGUGGGGAGCAAACAGGAUUAGAUACCCGAGUAGUC
rnacentral:rRNA from 1 species